rnacentral:rRNA from 1 species
GACGAACGCUGGCGGCGUGCCUAAUACAUGCAAGUAGAACGCUGAAGGAGGAGCUUGCUUCUCUGGAUGAGUUGCGAACGGGUGAGUAACGCGUAGGUAACCUGCCUGGUAGCGGGGGAUAACUAUUGGAAACGAUAGCUAAUACCGCAUAAUAGUAGAUGUUGCAUGACAUUUGCUUAAAAGGUGCAAUUGCAUCACUACCAGAUGGACCUGCGUUGUAUUAGCUAGUUGGUGGGGUAACGGCUCACCAAGGCGACGAUACAUAGCCGACCUGAGAGGGUGAUCGGCCACACUGGGACUGAGACACGGCCCAGACUCCUACGGGAGGCAGCAGUAGGGAAUCUUCGGCAAUGGACGGAAGUCUGACCGAGCAACGCCGCGUGAGUGAGGAAGGUUUUCGGAUCGUAAAGCUCUGUUGUAAGAGAAGAACGAGUGUGAGAGUGGAAAGUUCACACUGUGACGGUAUCUUACCAGAAAGGGACGGCUAACUACGUG